rnacentral:lncRNA from 1 species
CAAAAUAAGCAUAAGCAAAAGGAUCAUGCAAAAGCGAAAGUCAAAUAGAGUGAGCACGGACAUGAUCUCUCCGGUCAGCACGGACAUGGUCCCUCCGUUCACCACGGACGUUGUCCCUCCGUUCACCACGCACGUUGUCCCUCCGUUCACCACGCACGUUGUCCCUCCGUUCACCACGCACGUUGUCCCUCCGGUCACCACGCACGUUGUCCCUCCGGUCACCACGCACGU